CCUACGGUGAGCAGCAGUGAGGAAUAUUGGUCAAUGGACGCAAGUCUGAACCAGCCAUGCCGCGUGCAGGAAGACGGCUCUAUGAGUUGUAAACUGCUUUUGUACGAGGGUAAACGCAGAUACGCGUAUCUGUCUGAAAGUAUCGUACGAAUAAGGAUCGGCUAACUCCGUGCCAGCAGCCGCGGUAAUACGGAGGAUUUAAGCGUUAUUCUGAUUUAUUGGGUUUAAAGGGUGCGUAGGCGGUCGGAUAAGUUAGAGGUGAAAUCCCGAGGCUCAACUUCGGAAUUGCCUCUGAUACUGUUCGGCUAGAGAGUAGUUGCGGUAGGCGGAAUGUAUGGUGUAGCGGUGAAAUGCUUAGAGAUCAUACAGAACACCGAGUGCGAAGGCAGCUUACCAAGCUACUUCUGACGUUGAGGCACGAAAGCGUGGGGAGCAAACAGGAUUAGAUACCCCAGUAGUC
rnacentral:rRNA from 1 species